UUACUUGCAUUUGGUUGUGGAGUGCGCGUUGGUUAAACGUAUUUUCGUACGCUACGAAACGCACACGAGUGUUUAUAAGUACAAUAAAUAACUCUCGAAACGAGGAAAACGAAUUACAAGUGGAUGCGCGCGCGAUUUCUCUCUCAAUUUUCAGUAAGUGGUUAGUUGUGCUACAAAAAUAUACUCGCUGAAUACUUCCCAAAAAAGUAGUGAUUUUUUCGUCUGCUUGGAAAAAGUGAAAAAAUAAAAUUAAAAUCGGCUGAGUGGUAGAUGCAAAUGUUUUGACCGAAAAAUACACACAAUCCAAAACAAAUAAAUUUGCUAAAUAUUGCAGAAAAAGCAGAGGAUGUGUGCAGGCGGAAAAAAGCUGAGUGGCAUAAACCACUAAACCGAAAUCGUUUUUUAUGCGGUACGUUUGUUGUGAAGACGGUCUCGCAAACGCUAUGUGAUAAAGUGGCAAUGACGUCUCCGCGUGGGCAAUAAACGUUAAACAUAAAAAACACGUAUGUUGUAUUCUCACGCCACUCCUUUUUUCUGAAUGCAUGAUUAUUCUGCGGCUUAAAUGUACUAUACAAAUCGAUAAAUUGUGUAUGCAAAUACUUGAUUAUUUAUCUGUGUGCAAAUACGCGCGUGAGUGUAUUUGAUACGGCAGCAUUAUUUGCGAUUUUAAUUCGCGUACAGCAGCCGUAAUUAAAUUAGCAGCAGCAGUAAUGUGAAUGAGUGCCCCUGAACGCAUGUGAAUUGAUUGUGCAAAAAUAGCGAAUGAUACUAAAAAAAUAAAUAAAUUAUUAUACAAAUACAUAUACAUAUGUACGUUCUGCAUUAUCAGUGUUUGUCAGAAGUUGAAGCGUCAAUACAUUCCCGAAGCAGUGAAAAUUGGAAUUAUCCAACAAGUGCUAAUCAAAUUAGCUACAAAUAGAAAUUCAGCGAAAUUUCCAGUUGGAGGCUUAUGGCACAAGAAUAAAAUUGAAAACACAUACAUAAGUGAUGGUGAGUAGUUUUACACUUUUUACACUACACAGUAUAAGUGAUACAUAAUAUUUAUUUAGCAUUAGAGUAAAGUGCAAUAC